GUAAACUUUAACUAUUUUAGUGUCCUGGGAGCACUAGGUUUUCUGCUAUAAAUACUGUACCAGGAGAAGUUUAAUGGGAACGUCCACCUUGAUGGACUUCAGGGGCCUCUGUGGUGGUCGAGCUGACAGAUGGACAGCCAGGAAAGCCUGCAUCUGUUUGGAGAAUUCAUGAGCCCUUGCCCAAGGAAGAGAUGCACAUUGUCCAUGUGAACAAUAUGGAGCCUCAACUCAGCCAUCUCUGCUUCCAGGGAGCUUCAGAGCACAUAUGGAAGCGGUAUCAUUUUUCUUCAGUGCCAGGCUUGGUAUUGACUUUUUUAAGUUGGUUCGAAUUCACUCUGUAGCGAUCUAUAUAAAGAGAAAGCAUCAGGAGAAUGGAAAUGAACAUACAGAUGAUACACAGAUGUGAAAGAUGCAUGAGAGUGCACAGGACCAGGUUUGAACAGAGAACUUCCUCUCCUGGGGGAAUAUCCAGCCAGAAUGUUUCAUGUUGCAAAGGGCAAACACAGAAGAUCAGGGACUGUCAUGUUCCGGCACUGGUAAAGCAGCAGCCUGCUUCUCCCAGCGGUGAGCUCCCAGCUCUGAGGGACUGACAUUAUUUGGGACAAAG
rnacentral:lncRNA from 1 species